AAGGAACCACGUGAGAAACACUGUCAGGCACAGUAAAAGUGCCGGAAAGAGCACUGUGAGCAGAAACCACAUGCAAUACCCCAGGCUGGCCAGCAGAUGGCGCAACAGCCCAUGCAACAAGCCCCUCAAAGCAGGCAGUACAAUCUGGGAAACAGGGAAUGCAGUAAGACCAUCCCCAAGGGACUGCUGGGCAGGGAAGGAGGAGGACGCGAGCACGGCGGGAACCAUAGCAGAAAAGCCCGCGUGGGAAACUAACAGACUGGACACACCGCCACCAACCUGCACCAGGCCACUAACACCCGCAGGCGUCACGGCCGGACCCACAGAGGGGAGGUUAAUGGCUCCCCCAAAACUCGGAGCCUCUGCAUAGGGGCCCACGUGACCCACCACAGUACUACUUGUGGCGCCACCCAGGCCUGCCACAGGAGCUGCCAGAGGAGAUGGUUCACCCGCCACCAGAGCCCCCUCCACAGUGGAUGUGGCCGUGAUACCACGACCACCACCUUAUGGAGCAGAUGGAGGUAAAAGCGGGCGAGGCGGGGGGGGAGGCAACCACAUGGACGCCUAUAGCCCGCAGCUGCGAGCGGGUGAGCCACAUCCACAAGGCGGCAGGGAGGGGUGCAGAUCUACGCAGGUGAGGCAUGGCAGGAAGAAAGCAAAGGCAGGGAGUGAAGAAAUGGAAGCAGGAGGGAGAUUAGCAAUGGAGACAGAAAAGGAGCAAAAAAGGGGAUAUAAAAGAGAAAUAAAAGGAAUCAAAUGGACAGAUAUAACCAAUACUGUGAGAAUAAAAAUAUGUGUACUCAGCCUUCCAAAAUGGCAAAGAGAAAGAUGGCCCUCAGGUCCUGUCUAUAAAUACUAUACUAUACACUCCUCCAGAUAAGCAGCAUGCCUAUAUUCUGUGUGUAAUAGCAACUGUAUCUGCAUACAACAUUUUAUGCUACAGUGUAUUCCUGCCAAACACUGUAACAUAAUUUGGUUUACUGAUACAGUCACAAUUCCACAUAGAAUAUAGCCAUGCCGCAUAUCAUUUAAAUCAGUAUAAGCUGUGCGUCCUGAAGGACUAGGGUUUUUUUUUAUGGUGUGUGUUGCUUUAUACAUGACUUUUAGGGGACAAUGGGUGACAAUGGGUGACUGUGGUCCUCCUAUACUAAAAGACGCAUUCCAGUUGGUCUGAAAGUAUUGGACGUUUUCUAGUUUAAAUUCCACCUUGGAUCUGAUAUGAAGAAAGCAAGAGAAUACAUGCAUGCCAUUACAUUAGCAGAGUUCGGGGAAAUAGAUGCACAUUUGUAUUAUUUGAUGCGGUGCGAUAAUUUCCUGCGUGGCAUUAUCGGCUCCCAUUUCAUCCUGGCCUAAAUUCUUUGUCAGUUUUAGUAUUGUUUUGUGUCCGACUUUCAAUAUCAGACUCCAUUACAUUGGCCGAGUUGUAAACUUAACAUGGGCAAAACAUCUGGAUCUGAAUUUUCAUUGGGAUCCCUACGUUAGAGCCAAAAGCGUCUGAAAAAUCCGGUUUGUAGCACUCCCAUUACAGUCCUUAAAAAUAUUGUUCUUUGAAGAAGCUCAAUGAAAACUUUCUAAUCUGCCCACUGAAUGAGAAAGAAACAAACAGUAUCUGUUUACGAUCCCGGGGCACAGGUUCCUGGUUGUUGGAAUACCGAUGCCGGAAUCCCAACACUGCUCAGAAUGCCGGCACAGAGUACUGAAAUAGAUCACAAUCCCAGUGACGGGAUCCCAAUUGAAGGUUUGCCGGAGGUGCGAACAGUUAUUUACAGGAUGGACUCAGGAUCCUGGCUCCCAGGAAGACGGCAGUCAUAAAACUGACAGUGGCAUUCCCGACGCUUAGAAUCCCGACACCUAGUAGCCUAACUCUCCUCAGUGGUGCCCAACACUAACCCCACCUCCCCACAGCCUAACCCUAACCCUCCCGCAGCAUCCAAAGCCUAAUCUCCCGCAGUGACUUACCUCUAUGCUGAGCCGGCAAAUCUUCGGUCGGGCUCCCGACACUGGCAUUCCAAGUAGUGUUAAGGUCACUGUCACAGCAAUUACACUGUUUUGUAUAUUGAUGAAUUGUAUUUGAUAAAUACGAAUACUAUAAUAUCUUUCAUACCCACGGCAAAAAGCUGGUUGGGAUUCAGAGACUUACAAACUUUGACCACAUCGGUAUAUCACGACCCCUGAUGAAGUCCUGUGUGGACGAAACGCGUUGGGUAUUCGCGCAAUUGUGAAUUUGAACACACUUCUGAACGCUUUGGUAGAAAUAUCACCAACAUAUAUGUCAUCAGAUUAUUAGUUUGUAUUUUCCAUUUAUGGUACAAAGUCAAUUGCAUGUUUUAUUGAUAUUUUUAU